UUCUCGUCCGAUCACCGAAGUUAAGCAACGUCGAGCCCGGUUAGUACUUGGAUGGGUGACCGCCUGGGAAUACCGGGUGUUGUAG
rnacentral:rRNA from 1 species